AAAUAUCUUACGUUUUGAAGUUUGAAUUCAUCUAUAAUCAAGAACUCUAGCACAACCUAUAUGAGACUGAUCUUUUCACUUCAUACACCAUAUUGAACUUGAGGUAAUGAUGUACAUGUUUAGAAGUUGACCUAGCCAAGAGCGGCCAGUCAGAUAUUUGUUCAUAUGCCAUGCUUCGGGCCAUUUUUGUAGCCGAGCUAGAAACUCUGAAUUCAUUUUGUUAGCCGCUCUAUUAUGGUUUUUGUACAAUAUAAUUUUGUAAACAAUAAAUAUGUAUAUAUAUGUACAUAUUUCGAGAAA